rnacentral:rRNA from 1 species
AAUUUUGGACAAUGGGGGAAACCCUGAUCCAGCCACGGCGCGUGUCUGAUGAAGGCGUUCGGGUUGUAAUGUACUGUUGGCAGAGAAGAAAAGGUAUCUCCUAAUACGAGAUACUGCUGACGGUAUCUGCAGAAUAAGCACCGACUAACUACGUGCAAGCAGCAGCGGUAAUACGUCGGUUGCAAGCGUUAAUCGGAAUUACUGGGCGUAAAGCGUGUGUAGGCGGUUCUGAGAGAAAGAUGUGAAAUCCCAAGGCUCAAAAUUGGAUCUGCAUUUUUAACUGCCGAGCUAGAGUAUGUCAGAGGGGGGUAGAAUUCCACGUGUAGCAGUGAAAUGCGUAGAUAUGUGGAGGAAUACCGAUGGCGAAGGCAGCCCCCUGGGAUAAUACUGACGCUCAGACACGAAAGCGUGGGGAGCAAACAGG